AAAAUCGUGCAAACUCAAUACAUUGCAGAGUUUUCGUAGGCCU
rnacentral:ncRNA from 1 species